UGGCAUGUAGUUCAGUGGUAGAAUGCCUGACUGUUAAUCAGGGUAUCGUGGGUUCAAUCCCCACCUUGCCAG
rnacentral:tRNA from 1 species